CCUACGGGAGGCAGCAGUGAGGAAUAUUGGUCAAUGGACGAGAGUCUGAACCAGCCAAGUAGCGUGAAGGAUGACUGCCCUAUGGGUUGUAAACUUCUUUUAUAUGGGAAUAAAGUGCAGUAUGUAUACUGCUUUGCAUGUACCUUAUGAAUAAGGAUCGGCUAACUCCGUGCCAGCAGCCGCGGUAAUACGGAGGAUUCGAGCGUUAUCCGGAUUUAUUGGGUUUAAAGGGAGCGUAGGCGGGUUGUUAAGUCAGUUGUGAAAGUUUGCGGCUCAACCGUAAAAUUGCAGUUGAUACUGGCAUCCUUGAGUACAGUAGAGGUAGGCGGAAUUCGUGGUGUAGCGGUGAAAUGCUUAGAUAUCACGAGGAACACCGGCGGCGAAGGCGGCCUGCUGGACCGCGACUGACGUUGAGGCUCGAAAGCGUGGGGAGCGAACAGGAUUAGAUACCCCUGUAGUC
rnacentral:rRNA from 1 species